rnacentral:tRNA from 5 species
GGUGACAUAGCCAAGUGGUAAGGCAUGGGUCUGCAAAACCCUGAUUCCCCGGUUCAAAUCCGGGUGUCACCUCCA